rnacentral:rRNA from 1 species
ACGCUCGACACCUACGGGAGGCAGCAGUCGGGAAUAUUGCGCAAUGGAGGAAACUCUGACGCAGUGACGCCGCGUGCAGGAAGAAGGUUUUCGGAUUGUAAACUGCUUUAGACAGGGAAGAGGAAGGACAGUACCUGUAGAAUAAGCUCCGGCUAACUACGUGCCAACAGCCGCGGUAAUCUGAGCGGGCUGGCAAGGC